GACGUAGGGGGCCAGCGUUGCUCGGAAUUACUGGGCGUAAAGGGUUCGUAGGCGGCUUGUUAAGUCAGGGGUGAAAGUUUUCGGCCCAACCGGAAAAUUGCCUUUGAUACUGGCGAGCUGGAGUGCGUGAGGGGUGACCGGAACGAGUGGUGUAGCGGUGAAAUGCGUAGAUAUCACUCGGAAGGCCAACGGCGAAGGCAGGUCACUGGUGCGCAACUGACGCUGAGGCACGAAAGCGUGGGGAGCAAACAGG
rnacentral:rRNA from 1 species